CCCCCAAAAUGCCUACAUCCUAGUCCCUGGGACCUGUGAGUAGGUUAUAUUACAUGGCCAGGGAGUAUUCAGGUUGCUAAUUGGCUGGCCCCAAAAUAGAGAAAUUAUCCUGGAUUACCUAGGUGACCACAAUGUAAUCACAAGGUCCUUAAAAGUAGAAGAGGGAGGCAGAAGUUAAAGGUCUGGGUGAUGUGAUGUGAGAAGGCUCGAUCUACUGCUGUUAGUUCUGAAGAUCAAGGAGGAGGCCACAAGCCAAGGAACACGGGAAGACUGCAGAAGCUGGAAAAUGCAAGGAAAUGCUCCCCUAGGGCCUCCAGUGAGGAAUGAGCCCUGCCCACGCCUUGAUGUAGACCAGUGAGACCCCUGUCAGACUUCUGAGCUCCAGACCGUAAGAGAGCUGAAGCUUCUCACAUCUAUUCUUCUUGGUCCUGUCUGAGCUCUGGUAUUUAUAAUAGAAGAGGAGCCAACUCCACCAUGUAGACGACAUGGAGCCCCAGCAGGCUUGCAUGCCUUCCAUCAGUGUACAAGGCUCUGGCCGAUUUCAUCACAUUACCACAUAGAGGAAAAGUUUUGGAGAUAAAUGCAUCAUAAAAGUGUUUUUAAAAACAGCCAUGGAGAACUGGAAUUUUUUAUCAAAUUUAUUUACAUAAUAUUUAGCACCUACAGUCUAAACCUGCCACAGACCACACUCAACUGCAUCAAACUAUAACCAUCCAUUUAUGUUAAACUACUUUAUGUGUUUUGUAAUAUUAAGAUCAUUUAACAAACUUUCAAGCCUUUAGUAUACUAAAAG